rnacentral:rRNA from 1 species
GACGAACGCUGGCGGCGUGCUUAACACAUGCAAGUCGAACGGAAAGGCCCUGCUUUUGUGGGGUGCUCGAGUGGCGAACGGGUGAGUAACACGUGAGUAACCUGCCCUUGACUUUGGGAUAACUUCAGGAAACUGGGGCUAAUACCGGAUAGGAGCUCCUGCUGCAUGGUGGGGGUUGGAAAGUUUCGGCGGUUGGGGAUGGACUCGCGGCUUAUCAGCUUGUUGGUGGGGUAGUGGCUUACCAAGGCUUUGACGGGUAGCCGGCCUGAGAGGGUGACCGGCAACAUUGGGACUGAGAUACGGCCCAGACUCCUACGGGAGGCAGCGGUGGGGACUAUUGCACAAUGGGCGGAAGCCUGAUGCAGCAACGCCGCGUGCGGGAUGACGGCCUUCGGGUUGUAAACCGCUUUCGCCUGUGACGAGGCGUGAGUGACGGUAAGGGGUAAAGAAGCACCGGCUAACUACGU